AUGCCGACAGUCCUCAGCGGCAAAAGGGAACUUUCCAUCGUCCGUUUUCUGCCUCGAUGCGCAUCUUCUCAGGACGCAGGAAGUCACAAACACCAGUGUGCCAAAGACAUUCAAGGGGACAUGACUCAGUCUUGGCCCUCCCAGCAUGCCUUAGGGGGUGACCAGGCCCAGCGCUUCCUCUACAAUCCCAAGGAUGCAAAGCAGCACACAGUGCUGCAGAGACAAGCCCGGGGCGAUGUCCAGAUGCGAAUGACCCGACCCCCUCAUGUGGCACCCCACAAAUCCAUGCUGGCUGACGACCUGGAUCUCAGCAGCGAUGACGAGGACAAUCGCAGGGCCAAUCGUCAGUCCUCCUGGGAUGAUCACAGCCUGACGGCUCCGCGCACGAACACCCAUAGCGCGCGAGUGCGACAUUCCAGCUCCGACUCCUCUGGCUCAGAGUCGUCGGGCGAGUCGGAGAGCAGUAGCCAACGCUCCCGGAGUCCCGUCCCCGAAGCCAGCUCUGACCCGGGGUCGCCUGGCAACGCACGGCCGCUGCCCACCGAGGAGGUAAACGAUGAGGGACGCUUGAUUCACUGUCUGUCUGACUCUUCCUGUUGGCAUGCCCCGGCUGCUGUCUGGCUCUAUCGCCCUAUCUCUCCCUAUCUCUCUAUCUCUCGCAUUUUUGUUUCCUUUUGCACGCCUUCAGGGCAGUCGUCCACAGGGAGCGGUAGAGAGGCUGCUUUCUUUUUGUUUUUUUUAGGGUCAGGUGGGGGAAGGGCCGGAGGAAUCCGGAAUGUUGGCUAAGGAGAGAGGAGGCGACGGGGCGCACAUGGGGGGAGGGGGGGGGGGGGAGGGGAGGGGGGGGGGACGGGGGGGGAGGGAGGUAGCGAGAGGAACAGCGGAGAGGAAUUAGGAGUCUGGGUGUCAUGUCAACAAGGCCGCUCUUAAAGAGGAAAGCCCUAGGGAGUUAGGAGUCGCGGGGCUCGUGUUUCAUGCUAACAUUUCAACGGCAAUAAGCAUAACUCUCUCCAAAGGUUAUCAGGGGGGGGGGGGGGGGGGGGGGGGGGGGGGGGGGAGGGGGGGGGGGGGGUGGGGGGGGGGGGGGGAGCUGUGCUCCAACACCGGCCCGUGGUCAGACUGGAACAGGGCCAGGGCACCAAAGUCCAUAUAGGUGUGUUUCUCCGCUGUUGUCGGGAGAUGUGCCUGCUCUGGGUCCAGCCACAGCGGCUCCCUCAGUAUGCGAGCGAUCGCGAAAAAGGAGGAGGAGUGGACAGCCGAGGCAGGGGCGUGCUCUGGGCUGUUUGCUCUGGUGGAGUGUAGUGGGAAAGCCGUCUCCUCCUUUUAUGAAUGGCAGGCCCUGUGUGACAUAGCAGGCUCCCCCUUUUCCCCCCCCCUCAAUGCUCCACUCCACCACCAUACCGGGGACCCUAUAGUGGAGUGGGGGGAGGGGGCUCGCCAUGUGUUUUUCAUCUACGUGGAGGGUUUGAGUGUCUUCACAGAAAUAGGAGGGGACUCGGUGCAGGCGGGAGGUGGGAGGAGGGGUGGAGUGGGCGGCUUGCGCGGGGUGGUGGUGUUGGAGCCCUGCUGGAAGUGGCCCCUCUAAAGUUCCAGGUAUAGGGAGGCGGAGGAAGAGAGAGCAGGAGAGCGAGAGAAGGAGAGAGUAGGAGAGAGAGAGAGAGAGAGAGAGAGAGAGAGAGAGAGAGCGAGAGAGAGAGGAGCAAGGGGAGGAGAGACGGUACAAGAGAUGCAGUGUCCUCUCUGGAAAGAGGGUGAGAGGGGUGAGGGGGGAGUCGCUGUUUGA
ensembl:lncRNA